UGCUCAUGAAAUUUAAAUAGCCGCAAUAUAGUGCUAAGGUAGCAUAAUCACUCGCUUUUUAAUUGAAAGCUAGAACAAACGAUUUAACACUUCACUAACUCUAUCUAAAGUAUAAUUACAAAUUUACAAAAAGUAAAAACUCUUUUAUUAAAUAGAAAGACGAUAAGACCCUGUUAAACUUAACUAUAGUUAAACUGGGGCAGUUGAAUAAUAAAUUUUUUAUAGAAAAAGAAAUAAAAAAAGACCUAUUUUCAUAAUAUUAUGAUCAAGUUACUAUAGGGAUAACAGCGUUAUCCUUAUUUCAAGAUCUUAUAAAAAUAAGAGAUUGCGACCUCGAUGUUGAAUUAAUUUUCUAUAAUAUUACGCAAUCGUAAUAUAAGAAAGUCUGUUCGACUUUUAAAAAAUUACA
rnacentral:rRNA from 1 species